rnacentral:tRNA from 1 species
GGCCCUCUAGCCCAAUUGGCAGAGGCAAUAGGCUUAGACCCUAUCCAGUGCGAGUUCGAGUCUCGCGGGGGCCAC